rnacentral:miRNA from 2 species
ACUAGGUUUGUUUAUUUUGGGACG